rnacentral:lncRNA from 1 species
GUAACCAUAAGCCACAGGGGCUACUGAGUACUUAAAAUGUGUGGCUUGAGUGACUGAGAAAUUGAAUUUUAAAUUUUAUUUAAUUUUAAUUUAAACUUGAAUAGCUACAUGUGACUAGUGGCUACUAUUGGACAACACCAUUCUAGAAAGAUCAUUUGGAGGUAUGGGAGACUGAAGGGAGGAACACAGAAGGUAUCCCUCCCAGAUGAAAAGACGCCUACCACAGCAUGGCUUGCCAAGCGGUGCCAUGUCCGCACCCGGGAUCCAAACCAGCGAACCCCAGGCCACCGAGAAGUGGAUCAUGAGAACUUAACCGCUACGCCACCAGGCCGGCCCCGGAUCUGGGACUUUUUAAGACACGGAAAAAUGUUUUUGUUAUAAUGUUGACUAAAAUAAGAAUAUGAUUUCAAUGACAAAAAAAAAAGGAAAUAAACUGAAAAAUGUCAUUAUUUUCCCCAUGUAUACAGCAGAAAUUAUUUGAUCUCUAGACAUUAUGCAAUCAUGGUAGUUGGUGGUUAGGGUGAGAAUAA